rnacentral:rRNA from 1 species
CUACGGGUGGCUGCAGUGAGGAAUAUUGCACAAUGGGGGGAACCCUGAUGCAGCAACGCCGCGUGGAGGAAGAAGGCCCGUGGGCUGUAAUCUUCUUUUCUCAGAGAAGAAGAUCUGACGGUAUCUGAGGAAUAAGCACCGGCUAACUCCGUGCCAGCAGCCGCGGUAAUACGGGGGGUGCAAGUGUUGUCCGGAAUGAUUGGGCGUAAAGCAUCUGUAGGUUGUUCUUAAAGUCUACUGUCAAAUCCCAGAGCUCAACUUUGGACAGGCAGUAGAGGACUCAAGAGCUUGAGUACGGUAGGGGUAGAGGGAAUUCCUAGUGGAGCGGUGAAAUGCACAGAGAUUAGGAAGAACACCAGUGGCGAAGGCGCUCUACUGGGCCGUGACUGACACUGAGAGAUGACAGCUGGGGGAGUGAAUAGGAUUAGAUACCCUUGUAGUC